rnacentral:rRNA from 1 species
AUUGAACGCUGGCGGCAGGCUUAACACAUGCAAGUCGAGCGGUAACAGAGAGAAGCUUGCUUCUCUGCUGACGAGCGGCGGACGGGUGAGUAAUGCCUAGGAAUCUGCCUAGUAGUGGGGGAUAACUUGCCGAAAGGUAAGCUAAUACCGCAUACGUCCUACGGGAGAAAGGAGGGGACCUUCGGGCCUUUCGCUAUUAGAUGAGCCUAGGUCGGAUUAGUUAGUUGGUGAGGUAAUGGCUCACCAAGACCGCGAUCCGUAACUGGUCUGAGAGGAUGAUCAGUCACACUGGAACUGAGACACGGUCCAGACUCCUACGGGAGGCAGCAGUGGGGAAUAUUGGACAAUGGGGGGAACCCUGAUCCAGCCAUGCCGCGUGUGUGAAGAAGGUCUUAGGAUUGUAAAGCACUUUAAGUUGGGAGGAAGAGCAGUUAACUAAUAUUUGACUGUUUUGACGGUACCUGCAGAAGAAGCCCCGGCUAACUACGUGCCAGCCGCCGCAGUAA